UACACAUUCAAAAUCUCCUGUGACCUGGAAGAAGCGCAAAUAUGACCCAGGAAAUUCAGAGAGCCCUCCUGGAACACAGAGGACCUCUUCUCUGCGAGUGUUCGGAGGGAUUGGUGCUGAGCCCAGUGCAGCAGAGCAGGGACAGGUGAUACAGUUUGGAAACCAAAGGAACUCCAUAUUCCCUCAAAGUCUCACCUACCUGCCUCCACCCACACUCUCUUCCGGAAAGAACAAGGUACAAAACCAGUACCAUUCAUUUAUUUAUCUACACACAUGUAAUCCUUCCAAGUCUAUUUCUUCAUAUAUAAAAGUAAAAAGUUGAAUUUAUCUAGAAAAUCCUUUGUGCUGAAGAGAAGGAAUUAACACUCCACAAUUAAUGCCCAAUUCAUUAGCAAUUAGAUAUAUUACACAUCAUUCAAUUUGUGCCAUCAAGUCCUGGGAAAGUACCCAUACUUCUUAGAACUUUCCAAUAGCUCUUUAUCACCAGCUGGGUUAAUUAUCUAGCAGGAAAGCAACAGAUUUGAAUUCUCAACAUAUAAUAUUCUCUAACCUUUGGGAUAUUGAUGGGUCUACAUGGACUGAAGUUAUCAGCCACUUUCUGAAUCCAUUUAGGAGACUUCCUUUGGGGUAAAGGCUAAGCCUUAUAUUGAGUACACUGAUAAAAACAACCCUAUCAGAGCCCAGGUGUGUUGUUUUCUGUCUCCAUAUCCAAUAUCACUCCAGAUGAUAGUAAUUGUAAAUUUAUGUCACUUCUACACUGAGGCUUCACUUUCCACUAUUACCUGAAGUGAAGCAACCAUACAAUGCUUAGUUUUGAGUAAGACAAUAACAAAAACAACAAUGAUCCUACCAGUCAAAAAAACAUUCAUUCUCAUAUGACAAGGGCAGUGCUGAAUGUUUUAUACACAUUUCACCCUUAAGCUUGACAACAACCCAAUGAAGGGAGUACUAUAGUUAUAUAAAUUUUACGUUUGAGGAAACUGAUUGCUUAUGUAUUGUGAUCAAUGAUGUACUGGAUAUGUGAUUGGUUAUUGAUAUUUAUUAUCACAAAACAAAUUACUCCACAAUCUAGCAGCCUAAAACAAUAAAUAUUUAACAGUUUCUGAGAGGUGAAUCUUA
rnacentral:lncRNA from 1 species